GCCAUGAAAAUGUGUCUGCUUUCCAUGAAGGUGCUAGUCAGGGACUUAGUGUUGAAGAGGGAUUUAGAUAGUAUAACUCUCUGCGUGUACCUCGCGGAUUUUCCUUUGCACUUACCUUUCUUCAAUGUUUUAAAACUGUGAUAUAGGCACAAGGAAACUCAUUCCAGAAAAAGGCAGCGUUGUUAUUUGGCACUCACCACGUUGUGGAGGAUAAGUCUAACGGUGGAAACCAAGGACCAAGGCAAAGGGCUGAAGCACUAGCUGCCUUAAAUUCUGCUUCAACAACUUACCACGUGCGAAAGAGUGGAAACCAAGUUCAGAAAUUCAGACCAUUGAUGAUGCAUUAGGUAGUCUUGUGGCUUGGCCUAGUGAUAAACUUUUUUUAUGUGAUGAUGUUUGAAAAAACUUGUUGUGGUAGUAGAGAACCUUAGUGUGUGGAUGUUGCCUUAGUAGAGAAACCUGUUGUGUUGACUUUUAUGUUAUGUUUGGAUUAAUGUUAUGUUUGGAUUUUAUGGAGUAUUCAUAUUCUAAAAUGGGGUAUUCAAAAACAGGUUA